rnacentral:rRNA from 1 species
AGCAGCCGCGGUAAUUCCAGCUCCAAUAGCGUAUAUUAAAGUUGUUGCAGUUAAAAAGCUCGUAGUUGAAUUUCGGGGUUAGUAGGUUGGUCGUGCCUCUGGUAUGUACUCGCCUUACUGAUUCCUCCUUCUUGAAGAACUGUAAUGCCAUUAAUUUGGUGUUGCAGGGAAACAGGACUGUUACUUUGAAAAAUUAGAGUGUUUAAAGCAGGCCGAUGCCUGAAUACAUUAGCAUGGAAUAAUGAAAUAGGACGUUGAUCCUAUUUUGUUGGUUUCUAGGAUUGACGUAAUGAUUAAUAGGGAUAGUUGGGGGCAUUAGUAUUCAAUUGUCAGAGUGAAAUUCUUGGAUUUAUUGAAGACUAACUACUGCGAAAGCAUUUGCCAAGGAUGUUUUCAUUAAUCAAGAACGAAAGUUAGGGGAUCGAAGACGAUCAGAUACCGUCGUAGUCU